ACAAUUGCAUAUUUGAAUUCAAUUUUUGAAUCUCAAAAGGGCUCUAAAAGACUUGGUUUACACCCAUUUAAGCUUUCGAUUUUCAAACCAAUAGGGUUCAUGUAUAAAAGGGGUUUAAUGCAUAUAUAAGCUAUCCCAUAAUUUUUGGUUAAUUAUUUGGAGUUGAAAAAGUUUUUGAUUCAAAUAGAUAUAUGGCCCUAAAGGCCUUUAUAGGGCAAAUGUAUUUUUACAUAUUUUAUUUUGAAGAGAAACUACUUCCAAAAGUUGUAUCUUGGUAGAACAUGAUUUUACAAAUUUUCUGGAAUUUAUUUGGACCAAUUUGGAGUUCAAACUCAAAAGAUAUCAAAGAAAUGAGAAAAACAGAAAAAGAAAAGGUCUAAAAGAAAAAAAAAGGUAAACCGGACCGGCCCGGCCACUUUGGGCCGAACCGGCCCAGUCCGACCGCGCACGACCGGCCCAGACCGCCCGGUCCACGUGCGCGCGCCCGCAGUCGC
rnacentral:lncRNA from 1 species